GGGUAGCUCCCACAGGCAGCACUUGGAAGGUUGCAGGUGCCAUGGAAUGAGCUAGAACAGCAGCCACAAACCUUCAGUCCUUGCCCAGGCGCUACAGGCUGCGGCCACAUGAAGAGAUUCCAGAAUCGGAAGGAGCCCCAGAGAGGAAAAGCCCCAGCCUCCCCCUUUUCAUGGGAGCCUGGCCCCAGCACGCAAGGCAGACGGAUCCGCUCGGCCUGAAGUGGGGGUACACCCUGGGGCUCUGGGUUCCAGAGACCUAGAGUUCUUUCUGCUGCGCCAUGUGUAAAACCUUACUGUCACUGAAGCCAUGAAACACCACCCUGUGUGAAGAGCAAAUACCAACACUUGGAGAACUGCUGUGUGUUUCAAAAGUGUGUGCAAGUGUACAGUUCAAAAGCGAUGCAACUACCAAUGGCUUGAAAACUUUCAUAAGAACAUCUUAGAGGGAAGAAAAAUCUGUCGAAAAGCCACCAACCAACCA